rnacentral:rRNA from 1 species
AUUGAACGCUGGCGGCAUGCCUAACACAUGCAAGUCGAACGGCAGCACAGUAUGUAGCAAUACAUAUGGGUGGCGAGUGGCGGACGGGUGCGUAAUAUGUAGGGAUCUGCCCUGAAGCGGGGGACAACCCGGGGAAACCCGGGCUAAUACCGCAUAAUACUCUACGGAGGAAAUCUGGCACGCAAGUGCUGGGGCUUUAGGAUGAACCUACAUCCGAUUAGCUAGUUGGUGAGGUAAUAGCUCACCAAGGCAAUGAUCGGUAGCUGGUCUGAGAGGAUGACCAGCCACACUGGGACUGAGACACGGCCCAGACUCCUACGGGAGGCAGCAGUGGGGAAUAUUGGACAAUGGGGGAAACCCUGAUCCAGCAAUGCCGCGUGGGUGAAGAAGGCCUUCGGGUUGUAAAGCCCUUAGGCGGGGAAGAAGGUUAUAGGGUGAUAAGCCUUAUAGCUUGACGGUACCCGCAGAAUAAGCACCGGCUAACUCUGUGCCAGCAGCCGCCGUAA